UUGUGUCAUUUGUUAAUGGUGAGACUGAUAAGUCACGGAGGACUUUGGUAUGUUCAGUAUUUAUUGUGCUUUUAAAAAAAAAAUCCAGGUACUUUUAUCCAGGUGAAAUAAUAGUAAUUUGUAGCAGUUGUUACAGGGUGGCCAAAUCGAUGUAACCGUCCACAUCCUUCUGUUUUUACCACGAUCACUAAUGCAAUACUGGUUGCAUAGGCAUUAUUGAGAGUGUAAAUAUUGGACCACCACAUUCUUCUCAUUGCCAUUUUUUUCUCCAGUUUUUCAUAAUAUGACAGUCAACUAACAUCAGACUCCAUUUGUACUCACUAUAUAACACCUGUGUCAUUGCAGAUCGAUGAAAUAUUAUUAAUAUUAUGAAAAACACCUCUGGGAAUUUAACUUGUGAUGUAAACUAUACUAACCCCUUUUAAAUGGGUUUGCAGUUUAUUUAAUGUUAAAGGAAACACUUUGAUAUUCUGAGUCUGCUCGUCAGUGAGACGUGUGAAGC